rnacentral:rRNA from 1 species
AUGGGCGACCCCGGAGUUGGAUUCCAUACGCCACAACGGGAAGGAGUGGCUGCUCCAUGUUCUAGCACCAUUGAAUGCGUGGGGCGGAUGAUGGUCUUGAUGAUAUUUUGGAGAAGCUGGUUUAUCCGGAAUGAAGUGGUGCAUUGCAAGCCUGCACCACAUAUGGAGGCUUCAGUACGGUUCUUGCGAAGCUAUGUGGACUCCCUGAUCGGAAUCAAGUUAUUCCCGCAUGCAGAUCCAGCAAAAGGCAAGUCUCCUAUAGUGACCUUGUACUCCUGUAGAGAUGCCUUGGAGGCGGAGCUUUGCGCAUGCAUGGAAGGGCUAUCGUUGGCGAUUCAACGGAGCGAUCUUCCUAUAGUGCUGGAAAUGGAUUCUCUUGAGGCCGUGGCCAUGAUCUCAUGUGACAUCGUCGACCGCUCCGUCUACGCUUCCAUCGUGAAGGAGAUUAAGCACUUAUUAUCCCUUAGAUAG